CAACUGAGCCACCUAGGCGCCCCCAAGCUGUUUCUAUAGCACAGACAAUUUGCAGAACUGAUUGAGGAGAGAAAGAUGUUUGGAGAAAACAGAAGGGAAACUGGCCUGGGGGAGCAAGAGUUGGAGAAGUGGUCAAGGGGCCUCAAAGGGAUCCAGCCCUAAUUUGUCCUGAAUUGGGAAGCUGCCAGCACAAGUGUAACCUCAGCACUGCUUAGGAUUAUUAAUCUGGCAGGUUCCUUAUACCAGGACAAAAGAAAGGGAAGAACCUGGAGCAGGGAGACAUUUAGAAAGCUGGGGCAAUGGCCCAGGCAAGAAUGAGAUGAACAAGGAAUUGAUAAGGGAUAAGGUAGAGCAGAAGUCAGGAGGAGGGAUCCAAGAGGUCCUGCUGACCUCUCCCUCUGUUGAUCUGGGAUGAGGGCAGAGACAGAAGCUGGAGUUCACUUUCCCACAGUGAAAGAAGACAGGUAAGGAGCUCCCUUACUAAGGAUGGAGGUGGGACUCCAGGGCUGGUAAGGCAAGAGACAGGCUCUUCCAGACCUGCAGGACAGUCAGAAGAUGUGAGGAGGGGUAUGAGAGACAGAGUGCAGAAGCAGGUGUAGAUGGUUGACUAUAAAUAACCUAUCUGAUCUUCUAGUCUCCUGCCCUCGACCUGAAGAUGUGGGGUCUUAGGCCAGUGCAGCCAUCCCAGAAAAUCAGAACAAAGGCUUCCUGUGAUUCUUGGGAACACAGUCCUCUACCAUCCGUCCGCCUGCCAUACCCUUACCGUGGAGAGUUCUGCUGCCUGUCAGUACAUUAAGGCUCAGAAAAGCCCCAAGGGAGAGAAACCUGUUUCAUCCUGUUUAAUGGCUCAAUAAACAAGGUUAUUUGCACAGAAGGAGCCU
rnacentral:lncRNA from 1 species